AUUGAACGCUGGCGGCAUGCCUUACACAUGCAAGUCGAACGGCAGCACGGGUGCUUUCACCUGGUGACGAUUGGCGCGCGGGUGAGUAUUACAUCUGAACAUGUCCUGUAUUGGGGUAUAGCCCCUCGAAAGCCGGAUUAAUACCGCAUACGAUCUACGUAUAAAAGCGGGGUCCCUUCGGGCCUCGCGCUAUGCGGUUGGCCGAUGGCUGAUUAGCUAGUUGGUGGGGUAAAGGCUUACCAAGGCGACGAUCAGUAGCUGGUCUGAGAGGACGACCAGCCACACUGGAACUGAGACACGGCCCAGACUCCUACGGGAGGCAGCAGUGGGGAAUCUUCGACAAUGGGCGAAAGCCUGACGGAGCAACGCCGCGUGUGUGAAGAAGGUCUUCGGGUCGUAAAGCACUUUUAUUAGGAAAGAAAACAUUGGUAAGAAACCAGGCGGGGGAUGACGGUACCGGAAGAAUAAGCCACGGCUAACUACGUG
rnacentral:rRNA from 1 species